rnacentral:rRNA from 1 species
GAUGAACGCUAGCUACAGGCUUAACACAUGCAAGUCGAGGGGCAGCAUUGGAGUAGCAAUACUUCAGAUGGCGACCGGCGCACGGGUGAGUAACACGUAUCCAACCUGCCGCUUACUCGGGGAUAGCCUUUCGAAAGAAAGAUUAAUACCCGAUGGUAUAAAGAGUUCGCAUGUUCUCUUUAUUAAAGAAUUUCGGUAAGCGAUGGGGAUGCGUUCCAUUAGAUAGUUGGCGGGGUAACGGCCCACCAAGUCUACGAUGGAUAGGGGUUCUGAGAGGAAGGUCCCCCACAUUGGAACUGAGACACGGUCCAAACUCCUACGGGAGGCAGCAGUGAGGAAUAUUGGUCAAUGGACGAGAGUCUGAACCAGCCAAGUAGCGUGAAGGAUGACUGCCCUAUGGGUUGUAAACUUCUUUUAUAAGGGAAUAAAGUGAGGGACGUGUCCCUUUUGUAUGUACCUUAUGAAUAAGGAUCGGCUAACUCCGUG